UUCCCUGACUAGGAAGCAAAACUUGCUUUGGCAGAUGACCAGGAGAGCCCUUAGGCAGCUUUGGCCCUCGCUGCAGAGCAUCCCUGUGCUUGGCUCUGGCUGGCCCAGGCAACGAGCCCUUAAGGCACCUCUGAGAAGGCACUUUCGCUUUCUCAGUGGACCACAUCCCUGGAGCGAGAUCUGGCAGACCCCGUGGUGAUCAAUGCAGUAGCUGAACACCGGGAAGGAAUUGACACUUGGUGAUGUCCAGACUACUGGAAAAUGAGAUGGAGUCUCACUCUGUCGCUCAGGCUGGAGUGCAGUGGAAUGAUCUCGGCUCUCAAGAUCUAGCAAUUCUCCUGCCUCAGCCUCCCAAAGAGGUGACUCCCAAGUUCUUAAGGAAGACAUUUCUUGUCAUAAAAGUCACGAAAGACCAGCUGGAAAAGACCUAUCUCGUCUUUAAAACUGUUUAUAUACAUUUACAAAAGAUUGGAAAGUACUUACAAGUUUUCUAAGAGAAAUACUCUAGAAUAAAGAAGAUGGAAAUCUCCCCA
rnacentral:lncRNA from 13 species